UACGUAGGUGGCAAGCGUUGUCCGGAUUUACUGGGCGUAAAGAGCGCGCAGGCGGUCGGAUAAGUCGAAUGUGAAAGCCCCCGGCUCAACUGGGGAGGGUCAUUCGAUACUGUUCGACUCGAAGGCAGGAGAGGGAAGUGGAAUUCCCGGUGUAGUGGUGAAAUGCGUAGAUAUCGGGAGGAACACCAGUGGCGAAGGCGACUUCCCGGCCUGUUCUUGACGCUGAGGCGCGAAAGCUAGGGGAGCAAACGGG
rnacentral:rRNA from 1 species